UACGUAGGGGGCAAGCGUUGUCCGGAUUUAUUGGGCGUAAAGAGCGUGUAGGCGGCUUUACAGGUCCGUUGUGAAAACUCUGGGCUCAACCCAGAGCCUGCAUCUAAUACUGACGGGCUAGAGUUCUGGAGGGGGUAGCGGAAUUCCUGGUGUAGCGGUGAAAUGCGUAGAUAUCAGGAGGAACACCGGUGGCGAAGGCGGCUACCUGGACAGAGUCUGACGCUGAGGCACGAAAGCUAGGGGAGCAAACAGG
rnacentral:rRNA from 1 species